rnacentral:rRNA from 1 species
AAAAGACUCUCGGCAACGGAUAUCUCGGCUCUCGCAUCGAUGAAGAACGUAGCGAAAUGCGAUACUUGGUGUGAAUUGCAGAAUCCCGUGAACCAUCGAGUCUUUGAACGCAAGUUGCGCCCGAAGCCAUCCGGCCGAGGGCACGCCUGCCUGGGUGUCAC